UACAGUAAGGAUUGUAGUGACAACUCAGU
rnacentral:piRNA from 1 species